CGAGGUACAGUGUGACAGCAGAAGACAUUACAAUGCUUUACUACUGAGGACUCUUCCUCCUCUGGCUAGAGCUGCUUCACUGUCACAACCUCAAUGCCAUUACUGUCGUUUGUCCUCAUUGGCUCAUGCGUUUGAUUCUCUGGUCUCCAGAUGGUGGCGCUGUUUUAGAAGGUGGAAUCUUGAGAGGUGAACUUGUUUUGGAGGAAGUGGGCCACUAGGGGCAGGCCUAGAAUUUUCAUAGGUUGGCCUGCCUUUCUGUCUGCUUUCUGACUUCAUGCUCAUGUGACCAGAUGCCUCAAGUUCCUACCCAUGAGUAUGCUACCUGAGUAUGAUCUCUACCAACACCACUUCACCAUCCCACUCUGCCACAUGCCUGGAGAUGCUGCCCUUCAAGGAUCCUAUCAAAAGGUUCUUUUGCAUUGUGGCUUCUGUCUGGGAUUCCCUGCUAGUGAGUAUCCAGGGAGGAGUCCUGAGACAGUGAGGGCAUAUGUUUCCUUGGCAUAUUCCCUGUGCGAUAUCAUCAGGUUUUCUUUUCUUUCUUUCUUUCUUUCUUUCUUUCUUUCUUUCUUUCUUUCUUUCUUUUUUCUUUUUCUUUUUUUCCAGAAAGAAGGUCAGAGCUAUGCUCAAGGGGCCCAAAGCUUGGAAUUCUGAAUUCUGUGAACGGUUUUCUCCAAGUCAUUGCUUUUCCUGGUACCCAAGUUCUCUGCCCGGAUGUGACUUUGCAGAUACUCACAUAAGAGGCAGAGUACAUUGCCCCUUGCCCUUGACUUGGCUCUGUGAUCUGCUUUGUCCAACAAAUGUGCGCUGAACUGUCUGGAUGCCAGUACAAGCCAGGGUCCUAUAAAGCAUGUCAUGUCCCCAUGUGCCUCUGCCAUCUCUAGAAGAGUUUUCCCUGCACAACUGGUGCCUCUUCACUUGGAAAGAACAUCUGUGGGACUGACCAAAGGUAAGUCAAGUGCAGCUGGAAACCACUUGGAAGCAGAGUCCUCAGUUAAGACCAGCUACCUCCAAUCAAUUUACACUCCCAGGGAAAGCAGAUGCUUGGGCUGCACCUCCCCAAGAGCACAAAAUAAAGGGCGGUAGCAUCUCUCUGUUUCUCCCA
rnacentral:lncRNA from 1 species